UACAGAGGUCCCAAGCGUUUGUUCGGAAUUACUGGGCGUAAAGCGUGCGUAGGUGGUUUGUUAAGUCUGUUGUGAAAGCCCCGGGCUCAACCUGGGAAUGGCAAUGGAUACUGGCAGGCUAGAGUGCGGUAGAGGGUAGUGGAAUUCCCAGUGUAGAGGUGAAAUUCGUAGAUAUUGGGAAGAACACCGGUGGCGAAGGCGGCUCUCUGGACCGAGACUGACGCUGAGGCGCGAAAGCGUGGGGAGCAAACAGG
rnacentral:rRNA from 1 species